GCUGUAUGCAAAAUGGCGUGUCCCCAAACCGAAGUGGGCAGCCGACGAACUAGUAUUGCUGCAUGCAAAAUGGCGUGAACCCAAACCGAAAUGGGCAGGCUCGUUUUCAUAAAGAAUUCAAGAUUAUUCUCAUCUAUUGUCUCAAUAUGAUAUCCAUUAUGAAUGAUAUCUUUAAAACUCAACAAGUUCCUUUUUGACUUGGAGGAGAACAUUGCAUACUCUAAAAUGGAUUCUCAAAACUCAACAAGUUCGUUUUAAACUUGGAGGAGAACAUUGAUAUCAUUAAAACUCAACAAGUUCUUCUUAGACUUGGAG
rnacentral:lncRNA from 1 species